rnacentral:rRNA from 1 species
GUUUACAGCCAUGCCACGCUGAACGUGCCCGAUCUCGUCUGAUCUUAGAAGCUAAGCAGGGUCGGGCCUGGUUAGUACUUGGGUGGGAGAACCCCUAGGAAGACCAGGUGCUAUAGGUG